GAGCACUAGAGAGAGGGAGGGAGAGAAAGAACAUGCGAGAGAAAGAGAAGGAGAUAAAAGAGUGAAUGAGCUUUGAGCCUAGUUCGAAAGAAGGUAUAUUCAGAGCAGGGACUACAUGAAGAUUUAGGCCUAUUGGGUGACUAUUGCUAGGUCAUGGAGCCGCUGCACUUGGCGGAAUAUAAAUAGGGGCAUGAUCGGCCGCUGGACCUGGCGAAAUAUAAAUAUGGGUCUGAUCGGCCGCUGGACUCGGCGGAAUAUAAAUAAGGGCAUGAUCGGCCGCUGGACCCGGCAAAAUAAAAAAAGGGGCCAUAUCGACCGUUGGACUCGGCGGAAUAUAAAUAAGGGCAUGAUCGGCCGCUGGACCCAGCAGAAUAUAAAUUGAGGUCAACUCUUACCGCUAGAGGUUAAUAAGCGGCCCUCGCUUAUGAGAUAUGCUUAUGAGGACAUGCGAAUCAAUUAUUUGAGAUAUGCGGGGUCACGGUACCGUCACAACUCUGUUGCUAGGAAACGCAACCCUAUGACUAUAUUGAUUAGUUGUGUUGUAUAUUGUUUGUCUGGUUUGAUUGCUGUAAAUGAGAUGAUUGUUGA